rnacentral:ncRNA from 1 species
AAGCGGGUUCGUAAAGCCUGGGAGUGCUGGGCCUCUGUGAGGCGCCCAAUCCGGCAUAGAACCGGUGGUUAUCGGCGCCCAGGGUGAGCCCGCCUU